GUCCCAGCGGGAAGCGCCAGCCUUCCCUCGGGAGCGCGGUGUCCCUGCGAACGCCGCAUCCCGCGCUCCUCUGCCAGCUCUGUUCACCUUGACUCGGAAACCUUGGGAGAGAUGGAGCUCUCCCCGCGCCGUGGCCUUUUGCUGCGGUUGGAUGGCUUGCGCGAUAAGGAUUUAUUUCUAGCUGUGGGACAGUUUGGAUCUUGGGGAAGUGGCAUGGGUUUGGCAACGUCUCUCAGGGGUCCCAGAGUUUUUACUCUGCUUUUUGAGUAUCAUUUGGAGAUGAGAAAUUAGGUUCUUCUCAGAGGGCUUCAGUAAUUCAACCAUGUGGUUUCACUGACUUCAUGAUUAAAAUAGUAGUGCAUAUAUUUAAUGUCCCACAAGCUAAAAUUAAUUUCUGUCCUGCAGUUAUAAACACUGGUGAAAUUUCAGUCCAUUUAAAAUCAGCAGCAAAGCUCUGUCUUCAGUGGCACAAGGGGCUGACUGUCAGAAUUUGAAAACAUCCAGCAAAGGGCAAUCCCCAGUCCCUGUGCCUAUGAUUUCUCUGACGGGCUGCUAUGAUGGUUACAUGAUUGUUACAUGAUUUGGUUUUUUGUAAAAAUUCCUAAUCUGCAGUCCCCAUUUUCUACUUCCCUAAAUAUCUUUGAGUACAAGAUAAGAGCUGUAAGUCACAUUCUGUCAGCAUCCCUAAAAGAUAAAGGUUUUAUUUAAAGAAAAAACGAUUUGGUUUUGACUCUGUCCAAAUUCAUUCUUUCACUGUACCCAAUGCUGAAAAGCAGUAUGUCCCAAGGAGAUCAGCUACUGACCACCCCUACACAUUUAGAGAUGUAUCUCCCAGCUGUUUCUGAGAGGCAGAGUGGCAACCUGUGGAGACACGUCACUGUUAUUACAGAGGUUCUUUGAUCCAGAAGGAAUAAAGAUAUUUGGUUUUAAAUCUUCAUUGAACAGCUAACAAACUAAAAAUAAUUUGUAUUCAAAAUAGUGCAAGGUGUAUAAUAAUGUAAAACAAGUAUAAAUGAGCAGGAGUUUUAUGCUGUAACUGAACAUGUAAAACGGGGUAUCAAGGCUUGGUGCUGGCAGUGUGACCCACUCAAGACACUUAAACUCGCUCUAGACCAUUGGCUUGAUUUUUGGAAAAAGGUAAUUUUACCUAAUAUUUAGUCAGUAUUGUAGCCUAUUCUGCCUCUGUUUCUAGCUUAUAUGUGACCCCAGGGAAAGACACUCAGGGGCUGAAGUGCAUAGGGGUUACCUUGGGCAAAGUGGUGACAAACAGUGGGGCUUGGACAAGCACUACGGGGAGUUUGCCAAUAAUUGCCCGUGAAUGUGGGCUCAAGUGCAUGAAUUUAUCCAAGCGAAAAGGUCAGCAGAAAGCUGUGACCAGACAGUGAAUUCCACACAGUGAUCUUCCAGUGAAGGUGCCCUUGAGGACACCUUCCUUUGGGUUUGGACAUGCUGAUCUCCAGAGGUCCUUUCCAAUCCUGACAAUUCUGUGAUUCUGUAAUUCCCUGCUGCUGCCACCAGUAACAGCCACUUUCCAGUGUAAUUCCCAAAGACAGGUUUGUCCAGAAAGAUGUUGCCUUGUACAGUGGGGCCUGAAAAAACAUCCUUGCAAAGAACAAACCCUGAGAUGCUCUUCUCAGUUCUGUGUGGCCAUAGGGGAAAAGGAUGAAGGACAGAACAAUCUCCACUUGGAGACUUUUAAGUGCAUUCCUCACUUUGAGAACAGGCAACCAUAGGAGGUGCUUAUGGCAAGCAUUUACAAGUAUUACAUUGUUAAACCUCUUUGGAAGAUUAGGUCUCUCCAGAGCUUCCAGUUUGGAUGCUGUGUUUAGAGUGCUGGUGCUGCACUAGCUAUUUAGAGCUACCCCAGGCUGUGUGUUUGGAUUGUUUGGGCACUGCUUUGGAAAUACAGAUACAGAGAGUGUGGAUCAACAAGCAUUCAGCAGAGAAAGAGAAUUUGCAAAGUUUCUGUAAGAGCUGUUGCCCUUAUAUCUGUUCCACAUUCCUUCAUCUCAUUUUUUUCAGGAUGUGAUUGAAAAGGAAGCUGGGAAGGCAGAAGCAGAUUGUACUUCCUACGUCAAGAAGCAUGGGCAGACUCAUCCUAUACACAACUGACAGGCAGAGGGCCCAGAACAUAUUCUGGCAAAGGAAAAGGGAGAGAGAAAGACUUAUAUUCUGAGAGUGUGUGGAUACAUUUGGUUAGAAGAUGAACAUGAGAAGUCUGAGAAACAGAAAUGGCACUACUUAAUGGAAAAAUAAGAGGCAAAAUGGGAUCGCCCUUGUUCCUGUUGCUGCAUGCUCAUGAUCCGGAGCCCCAGGACUCGAGCAGGACUGAGGGACGCAUGCAAGUGGUAAGAAGCUGGAUCAUCUUUCUUCAUCUGCUCACUGCCUUCACAGAAUUUGCAAGUGUGACAAAGUAUUUCAUCCCUUUACAGGAUUAGGGAUGCGGAUUUGCCUCUCACCGAGGUGCUGCUGGCUAGUUCACUGCCUGCUCGAGGGUGUCUCUAAGACUGAUUUAAUCUGAAGCAUGCACUUCCUCAGGAGGUCUGCAGCACGGCUGGAGGAGUGCAAACACUGCAUCCCUUCCCUCCUGUUACCUCCUUCCACAUGACUACAGUGCCUGUGCUGUGCUCUCAGCUCCCUCACCCUGAAAUGUUCCUUGUGAUGGUUUGCACUGAGCUGCCUGGGAGCAGGCUUUGCUUUUGGUGGCAGUAUCCCUUGUUGCCAUGUCAUUCCCAAAGAAGAUGGCUUUAUCCUUGCCUUUAUUCCACUGGGACCAGCUGCUCUUCACACAGGAACCAAAAGUGGCAAAUCUCCCAUAACUUUUUUUAAUUUUCAAUUGAAGCUCCACAUCACGUGAACUUCUUGGGGUUUUUUGAGAGGUAAAGACUUUUUUUUACUUUUUCUUUUUUUUUAGAAAAAACAUCAAAUAAAAACCUGAAGAAAAAAAAACAACAAAACCAAAACUUACAGAAAAAAAAAAUCAAAACCCACACAUUGAGCCCAACCUGGAGAAUCAACUGCAUUGUGUGACUGAUACAGUCCAUGGGAGUACAAAGCAUUCUCAGUCUGGUCUUGCACAUCUACUCCCUAUACCUAUUAAUAGCUUUUAGACAUGAACAUAAACAUGGAGAUGGGCAGGACUAGUUUGCCAUGCAAACAUUUAUCUGGGGGGCCCAUCCUAUUUUCUAGAACUAAAGAUUUCACUGUGAUAAGGUGGACAUUUUUAAGCAUUGGUGGAGAUAGGGGGUUGUAACUGCACUUAACCUGAGGUUGGAUUAGGCAUUCUCUUAUCUUGGAGUCUGCCAGUAAAUAGCAAAGUAUACAAGCAAUGGAAAUAUGUCCUUCUUAAUCUGUAAAAAGAAAAGGACAGUUUUGAAAAUCCAUCAAUCUUUCAUAUCACCUUAAGGCAUAUUGAUCCUGAAUCAUCACAAGGAAAUUCAAUAGGGAUGCUCUUGUUAGUGAUCUAAGAAUAUAAAUGUGGUUGAAUACAUGGAAAACUGUAUCUUGUUCCAGUUGUCUUUAUUACUGCAAUAAAUAAUACCAACUCUCUA